AGAGUUUGAUCCUGGCUCAGAAUGAACGCUGGCGGCGUGCCUAACACAUGCAAGUCGAAUGUGCCGCAAGGUGCAUGGCAGACGGGUGAGUAACGCGUGGGCAAUCUACCUUCUCGUGGGGAAUAACGCUCCGAAAGGAGUGGUAAUACCGCAUGAGACCCAUGGCUGGGAUGCUGUGGGUGAAACCUGGGGACCUUCGGGCCUGGGGCGAGAAGAGGAGCCUGCGUCUGAUUAGCUAGUUGGUGGGGUAACGGCCUACCAAGGCGACGAUCAGUAGCCGGCCUGAGAGGGUGAUCGGCCACACUGGAACUGAGACACGGUCCAGACUCCUACGGGAGGCAGCAGUGGGGAAUUUUGCGCAAUGGGCGAAAGCCUGACGCAGCAACGCCGCGUGGGUGAUGAAGGUCUUCGGAUCGUAAAACCCUGUCGUUGGGGACGAAGGUGGGGGCGUGAACAGCGCUUCUGCUUGACGGUACCCGGAGAGGAAGCCCCGGCUAACUCUGUGCCAGCAGCCGCGGUAAUACAGAGGGGGCAAGCGUUAUUCGGAAUUAUUGGGCGUAAGGGCGCGUAGGCGGUUUUUUAAGUCAGAUGUGUAAUCCCCGAGCUCAACUUGGGAACUGCAUCUGAGACUGGAAGGCUAGAGUGCUGGAGAGGGUGGUGGAAUUCCUCGUGUAGCGGUGAAAUGCGUAGAGAUGAGGAGGAACACCAGUGCGAAGGCGGCCACCUGGACAGCAACUGACGCUGAGGCGCGAAAGUGUGGGUAGCAAACAGGAUUAGAUACCCUGGUAGUCCACACUGUA
rnacentral:rRNA from 1 species